CGCCAACGAGAAAGCAUUUGCCUUCCGGCUGCAGAUGGAAGGAAUCCCGGAUGCGACGAAGAGGCAGCCGCUUUGGCUGCGGAACGACAAGGCACAGACGGUGUUUCUUAGAGCGAGCGAUUUACAUUCCCGAGAGGUCCAGGGCUGGUAAGCUAGUGUGUGGUGUUGGUAUUUUUUCUUUUUUUUUCUCCUCUCUACAUUCAGCUUCAUCAGUAAGCAGAGGGAGAGGACCCUGUUGAGCGACAAGUGUCCCGGUUCAGCGAGAGCAGCAGAGAGGGUUCGAUCACCUCGACCCAGAUGGAACAGGACGUCCCCGGCGAGCGUGGGGUUCUCCGAGGCGGUUUUCAAAGUGUGGGUUUUCGCGGAACACUCUGCGCCACACAUCAUCGGCACGUACGAGGCGAUGGCUGGCGAGAACAUCCCCACCAACACGCUUCCUGUUCCCCGACAUCUCUAAAGACGAGGCCGUUGGGAAGUACUAGCCCAAACCCUGUGAAAAAAAGUUUAAGCGACUUGCAGCUCCAGAGCGAAUGGAUGUGGACAACGCAGAGCGUACGGGUUACCUGAAGACGGAGCUCAUAUCUGUCUCCAAAGAUGAGUGCAGAAUUUGAGGAGCAAAAGCGAGGACGGCAGAACUUCAUCCACGUUUUAGACAGUACUUUGUUAAAGUAUUUUUAAAGUGUAAAGUAGUUAAAGACUUUGAAUAAGUUGCUAAA